GACGAACGCUGGCGGCGUGCUUAACACAUGCAAGUCGAACGGAAAGGCCCUGCUUUUGUGGGGUGCUCGAGUGGCGAACGGGUGAGUAACACGUGAGUAACCUGCCCUUGACUUUGGGAUAACUUCAGGAAACUGGGGCUAAUACCGGAUAGGAGCUCCUGCUGCAUGGUGGGGGUUGGAAAGUUUCGGCGGUUGGGGAUGGACUCGCGGCUUAUCAGCUUGUUGGUGGGGUAGUGGCUUACCAAGGCAUGGACGGGUAGCCGGCCUGAGAGGGUGACCGGCCACAUUGGGACUGAGAUACGGCCCAGACUCCUACGGGAGGCAGCAGUGGGGAAUAUUGCACAAUGGGCGGAAGCCUGAUGCAGCAACGCCGCGUGCGGGAUGACGGCCUUCGGGUUGUAAACCGCUUUCGCCUGUGACGAAGCGUGAGUGACGGUAAUGGGUAAAGAAGCACCGGCUAACUACG
rnacentral:rRNA from 1 species